rnacentral:rRNA from 1 species
CCUACGGGUGGCAGCAGUGGGGAAUAUUGGGCAAUGGGCGCAAGCCUGACCCAGCAACGCCGCGUGAAGGAAGAAGGCUUUCGGGUUGUAAACUUCUUUUCUCAGGGACGAAGCAAGUGACGGUACCUGAUGAAUAAGCCACGGCUAACUACGUGCCAGCAGCCGCGGUAAUACGUAGGUGGCAAGCGUUAUUCGGAUUUACUGGGUGUAAAGGGCGUGUAGGCGGGACUGCAAGUCAGAUGUGAAAACCACGGGCUGAACCUGUGGCCUGCAUUGUACACUGUAGUUCUUGAGUACUGGAGAGGCAGACGGAAUGCCUAGUGUAGCGGUGAAAUGCGUAGAGAUUAGGAGGAACACCAGUGGCGAAGGCGGUCUGCUGGACAGCAACUGACGCUGAGGCGCGAAAGCGUGGGGAGCAAACAGGAUUAGAUACCCUUGGAGUC